UACGGGGGGGGCAAGUGUUGUUCGGAAUUACUGGGCGUAAAGGGCUCGUAGGCGGCCAACUAAGUCAGACGUGAAAUCCCUCGGCUUAACCGGGGAACUGCGUCUGAUACUGGAUGGCUUGAGUUUGGGAGAGGGAUGCGGAAUUCCAGGUGUAGCGGUGAAAUGCGUAGAUAUCUGGAGGAACACCGGUGGCGAAGGCGGCAUCCUGGACCAACACUGACGCUGAGUGAGCGAAAGCCAGGGGAACAAACGGG
rnacentral:rRNA from 1 species